rnacentral:lncRNA from 1 species
UAAAUUGUAAUAUGGUAUAUACUUUUUAAGUCCCGUAUUAAGAAACUAUACCUCUAUUAAAAGAGUACAUUUCCUAUAAAGGACUACAUUUUCCUAUAAAAGACUAUAUUUCCUAUAAAAGACCACAUUUCCUAUAAAAGAAUACAUUUUCCUAGCUUGAAAAUCUAAAUAAUUUAUGUUUUCUUUAACUUUGCAUAAAUAUUUUUUGAAUAAUAUUUAUUAGGGAGUUCUUGAUAUUUUUGUUAAAGUGAAUAUUUUUGGGUAUUUGGAAAAUAUUUUGUACUAAUACCUCUAUUUAAUAAUAACCUCUCAAUUAGAUUAUAAAUAGUUUGGUCCCAAGUCUAUUCCUAAAUAGAGGUUUUACUGUAUAUCCAACCCAUUAUCCUAAGUUUGACCCUCACAUGUCACUAAUAAAAUAAUAGUAUACAUAUUAUAUAAUCCAUCUAAUCAGAUCAUUUAAUCAUAGUUGCUUUCAUUUUUGGAGUAAACUGUAAAGCAGAGAAGUGACCAGAGAAGAAGAAAGAAAAGCAGAGAAGUGACCAAAGAAGAAGAAGAAUCGCGACUCGCGACCAAAAACUAAAUAGCAGAGAACCAAAAUAAAAACAGCGUCGUGACUCGCAACCAGAGAAAAAGAAAGAGAAAAGAAUAAGUGAUCGGAGCUGUGGGUCGAUCGUCGGUCGGAGUUCCAGACCUCCUGUACUCUCUCUCUCUUCCCCUUCUACUCUUCUACUUCAACUGCAAAUCGAUUAGGGACAUCGUUUUUUUUAAAACUUAGGUUGAUCCAUACCCCCAACAAAUCCAAGUCACUCGCUCAGCUCGUCUAAGUCGUCACCGAGGCGUCCAUGUCGACAACUUGCUUUAUUAGGCGCUCAACUUUCAAACAGCCACCAAGUCACCCAACUGCUUUGUAUUUGUCGAACCGAAUGGACGCCUUAACAAACUAUGGCGAUGAAAUAGUUUAGCUGUUGAAAACUAGACUAGAGCUCAUGCUGAAAAGAUGGAGAAUUACAUUAAAAUGUAGCCAAUCUGAGAAGGCAAACCUUUGUUAAAGCUAGAAGAGAAUUGUGGUAAAACGCACUUGUGCCACCUUUUGCUUAUGAGAAAAGUAACUUGUAAAAAAAUCUUUAGCUUAUGAAAAUGGAAUAUCAAUGAAGAUUCCUCAUUAAAUAGGCUUGAAUUGUUGGUGACAUUACUCAAAUUAUUUUAUAUUGUAUUUGUUUGUACAUAAAAUUGUUUGCUAUGUAUAUAUUUCAUGAUUAGGUAUAGCUCCAUUAGGUGGUGAAGAAUUAUUAUAUCUUACUGUAGCAUGUUAAUUGAAUAAUGAGUAUAUUUGUACUUAUAAAAAAGAGAGUAUAUCUAUAAAUGUUAACUGUCACUAUUGCGCAUAUGUUUUUUCUUGUUCUUUUCAACUGUGAAUUGUAGAUUUUGUUAUAUGAUGAGUUUACUAUUUAUAAUGGUCAGUUGAUCACCUUAGUCUUGAAGCUGUUCAAAAGUUUGCUCCGCUAGCUCACAGGGCCUUCCACACCCCAGUUUGACUACAAGAACAAACAAGACCCUUAAUUUGAGUUUCCUCUUCAACAGAUCUAUGUGACCACCAGAGUCUUGUUCAAUUUGGUAGGUAAU